rnacentral:rRNA from 1 species
GACGAACGCUGGCGGCGUGCUUAACACAUGCAAGUCGAGCGGAGCGGCGAACGGGUGAGUAACGCGUGAGUAACUGCCCCCCUCUCUGGGAUAACAGUUGGAAACGGCUGCUAAUACCGGAUAGUGGGGGAUGACUCGCGUCCUAUCAGCUUGUUGGUGGGGUAGUGGCCUACCAAGGCGACGACGGGUAGCCGGCCUGAGAGGGCGACCGGCCACAUUGGGCUGAGAGACGGCCCAGACGCCUACGGGGGGCAGCGGUGGGGAAUAUUGCGCAAUGGGGGAGACUGUGAUGCAGAAACGCCGCGGGCGGGAUGACGGUUUUCGGGUUGUAAACCGCUUGCAGCCAUGACGCGGUAGUGGCAGAAGAAGCACCGGCUAACUACGUGCCAGCCGCCGCGGUAAUAC